GUACACUCCUACGGGAGGCAGCAGUGGGGAAUAUUGGACAAUGGGCGCAAGCCUGAUCCAGCCAUGCCGCGUGAGUGAUGAAGGCCCUAGGGUUGUAAAGCUCUUUCACCGGUGAAGAUAAUGACGGUAACCGGAGAAGAAGCCCCGGCUAACUUCGUGCCAGCAGCCGCGGUAAUACGAAGGGGGCUAGCGUUGUUCGGAUUUACUGGGCGUAAAGCGCACGUAGGUGGACUAUUAAGUCAGGGGUGAAAUCCCGGGGCUCAACCCCGGAACUGCCUUUGAUACUGGUAGUCUUGAGUUCGAGAGAGGUGAGUGGAAUUCCGAGUGUAGAGGUGAAAUUCGUAGAUAUUCGGAGGAACACCAGUGGCGAAGGCGGCUCACUGGCUCGAUACUGACGCUGAGGUGCGAAAGCGUGGGGAGCAAACAGGAUUAGAUACCCCAGUAGUCCCAUG
rnacentral:rRNA from 1 species